AAAAAUGUCUGAAACAAUAUUAAUUAAUUAAAAACAUGUUGACUACAAAAUCAAAUGCUUUAUUUUAGUAACCAUCAGUUCUUGAGUUACCUACUCUAAGACAAAUAUAAUGAUGAAAUUAAUGAGGGUGGCCCCAUUUUGUUUUGAGUAGUACAGUUAUUUAACGUAUUUAUGAUAUUUUUAAAAUUUUGAAAAUGUUAAUAUUGGGAUUCAAGGAAUCAUACAUCAAAUACAGUAAAACGAGUUACAUAAAAACCGGGGGGUAAGUAGGUACAAGAAUGGGGAAUGGGAAAAUAAAAAACGUUUACUUCAAUAUUACCGAAAUACACUCCAAUUUUAUUUGUUAGCGUAGGUAGAUGUAGAUUAUUAUAGUAACGUAAAUGUGGGUACCUAUAAAUGUUAAGAAACUUAAUCUUCAGUAAUAUAAAAUUAAUCGCUAUUGUUAAUUUCAAAUCUCGAGAAAAACUGAAUCGCUUGCGUUAAUUCUUCUUUGUUGGUUUUGUUAUAAUUAGGAGAAGACGCUUAUGUAAGAAAAAAUAAAGAUGCGCAGACACAUUUUCAACGCAAAACAAAUUACUUGGGCUAGAUUAGAAAAAAGGAAAUUUUAUAUUGUAUUCAUUAUAAUUUUGUGAUUUUACAUAAAAUUAUAUCUAAUCCAAUUAUUCAUAAAUAAUCGAUAAAAAUAAACGAUAGACGAUACUAUCAAUAUUUAUAAAUUCUCGACCAUGGCAAUGUUUUAUAGACAUUUCAAUAACAUUUUCUGUCAGUUGUCAUGUCAAUGGCAUCUUUGUUUUGUUGAGUUUGUUUGUUGUUCUUGUCAUAUGCGGCGUGUAAAUUCAAAUGUAUGUGCGUUUUUAGGUGUUUUUAAAUAAUUAUGUGGAUAGUCAACUAUGCGGAUUCCGAAUCAAAAUAGGUCAUUCUAUGAAGAAACUUGUGGAUAAAAAUCCAAAAGCUUAUUUUAUGAUCAAUGUCAAAGGCGUUUACAAACACAAUGAUUACAUCUUAGUGCAUUGUUUGGAAACAAGAAAGAUAUACAUAUAUCCACAGCAAGACUCUGCCACUCAAUGUGCAUUUACUUCCGUGCAGUGUUGUAUGGCAUUGUGACUUGUGCCAUAAAUGACAUUCCUUUGACCUUACAACAAGCUGAGUGGUCAAAGUUACGGUAGAAAAUCCACCCCAUUCAGCAAAUUUAAUUACAAACCUUCAUUUGUACUUAUGGAGUAUUUUAAAUAGGAUCAUACAAAGAGAAUGGGUCAAAGUAAGGGUAGGACUUCAAAAAGUUGGCACCAAGUGCAGUAGCGGUGUGCGUAUGCACUUUUACUUGGAAUUUAAAAUUAAAUGUGAAUAUGGAAGGUGGUAAUGAGAUUUUUGAUAUCUUAAGGCACAUUAGCAACCUUUAAUGCAUAAGAAAAUAAAGAAUCGGUAACCAUGAGAUAAGUUUUGUACCUGCUCAUAAAGCUGUAAAGUGGUGGCAUAUAAUUUUUUUUUUCAUAAAAUUUUAUGGGAAUUGGAGCGGUUGCGGUUCCUCAUCCUGAAUUCUUGUCCUAUCUCAACUCUGUUCACAGUUCCUGCUGACCUCCUCAUCAUCCUCUUGCCCACUUCCUUAUUGGCCGACUGUUGACAGUUCCAGCUUCAGAAGACUUGACAAACGAGCCGCCUGGCAGACAGAGUCGAACAAUUACGCCAACACUUCUUGGCGCUAGUCUAAGGAGUAAAUUGGAGAGCUACAACUACUUAUAAUUGUAUUUUGUAUAAUAAACGAUUACCACUGUACAAAUAAAUAAUUCAUUGAAUACGAAGCAACCCCAAGCAAAAAUCCCAUCAAACAAACAUCCAGAUAUUAUAUUCACGAAGUGUGUUCUUAGUACCUAAUUCUAAUUUACAGGUACAAAUUCAUCUCAUGACGUGGAAGGUUCAGUCAGCAUCAACUAUGGAAUCUCUGGGGGAUUAUCGACGGCGAAUGGGAGACGGAGUGGAAACGACGUCACCAGUUCGUGCGAGAUACCACUUCAGAGGCAUCGUAACUGAUAGCGGGAGUCGACACCUCUCCCGAAAAGAAACUCUACGCUUCUUAUAUUAAAGAAACCUCCACCGUGCCGAGAGUUUCUACUGCAGUUAAUAGAAUGUGUAUUUCGCAAUCAAAGAACUUUUGUAGAAACGCCGCCUGCACCAGUCGGAAUAGAUGAAUCUCCACUAUUGCAGUCCCUCGCUGGGUUCACCAGGAGAGCCAAUCCGAUGAAUUAAAUUAUGUCUACCGUUAUACAGACAAUUUUGGAGCGAUUGCGUUCAUGACUAACAACAACGAACAAAACGGCCGCCAGCCUCCUUUACCGCCACAGCCGCAGACCUCAAAUCGACAAUCUACAGAUCAAAAAAAUUUUGUUUAGGAAAUGUCACGACUUUGUUUGGGGCAUAUGUAAUGAAGGUGCUCAGUGUAAAUUUCGACACGAGUUAAAUGUGAAAUAUAUGAAAGAAAUCUUUGAGGUUUUGUCACGAUUAUCAGAACAAAAC